AUUGAACGCUGGCGGAAUGCUUUACACAUGCAAGUCGAACGGUAGAGGGGGCAACCCCUCGAGAGUGGCGAACGGGUGAGUAAUAUAUCGGAACGUGCCCAGUCGUGGGGGAUAACGUAGCGAAAGUUACGCUAAUACCGCAUACGAUCUAAGGAUGAAAGCGGGGGACCGUAAGGCAUCGCGCGAUUGGAGCGUCCGAUCUCGGAUUAGCUAGUUGGUGAGGUAAAGGCUCACCAAGGCGACGAUCCGUAGCUGGUCUGAGAGGACGACCAGCCACACUGGAACUGAGACACGGUCCAGACUCCUACGGGAGGCAGCAGUGGGGAAUUUUGGACAAUGGGGGCAACCCUGAUCCAGCCAUUCCGCGUGAGUGAAGAAGGCCUUCGGGUUGUAAAGCUCUUUCGGCAGGAACGAAACGGUCUCACCUAAUACGUGGGGCUAAUGACGGUACCUGAAGAAGAAGCACCGGCUAACUACGUGCCAGCAGCCGCCGCGG
rnacentral:rRNA from 1 species